rnacentral:pre_miRNA from 1 species
UAUGUACUCCCUCCGUUCGGAAUUACUUGUCUCGGAAAUGGAUGUAUCUAGAUGUAUUUUAGUUCUAGAUACAUUCAUUUCCGAGACAAGUAAUUCCGAACGGAGGGAGUAUCUA